CCAUGUAUAAGGAAUAACAGAUACGGUAGUUAUAUUUAGAAGACUUUUUGUCAGUCUUAAUAUUCGUAUAUAUUUCCUCAGAGAAGAUAAAAUGAGAGACAGAGCUGCUAUCUUCUUGGUUUGAUUAACCAUCAAAAUACAAAAAAGAUUUAACUACAAUAACUACUCUGGUCAGACGGUGCCCAUUGGGAUUGACAACCCCACUAUAGCAGUGGUACGGACCGACCUUGUGGUAUUAGGGAGAAUAACGUAUGCUUCACAUGAACAUUUAAAGAACAAUGAUGUUUGGUCAACAGAACUGUCUAAGCCAAGCUGUUUUGGUGUUGUUUUUUACGUUUUCGGACAUUGCAGCUGCACCUGUGUUAUCAAUGGAGGAGUUAGUGGAUGGUUUCCGUCGACAACAGAUGGUUAUGUCAAGCACUAUGAUAAACGCCAGUCAAAGUUUAGGACUUCCUGACAGGUUGGCUGAGGCAGAGGUGGAGGAAGCGGAGGAGAGAAGUA